GACGAACGCUGGCGGCGUGCUUAACACAUGCAAGUCGAACGGUAAGGCCCUUCGGGGUACACGAGUGGCGAACGGGUGAGUAACACGUGGGUGAUCUGCCCUGCACUUCGGGAUAAGCCUGGGAAACUGGGUCUAAUACCGGAUAGGACUCCUGGCUUCAUGGUUGGGGGUGUAAAGCUUUUGCGGUGUGGGAUGGGCCCGCGGCCUAUCAGCUUGUUGGUGGGGUAAUGGCCUACCAAGGCGACGACGGGUAGCCGGCCUGAGAGGGUAACCGGUACCACUGGGACUGAGAUACGGCCCAGAAGCCUACGGGAGGCAGCAGUGGGGAAUAUUGCACAAUGGGCGCAAGCCUGAUGCAGCGACGCCGCGUGAGGGAUGACGGCCUUCGGGUUGUAAACCUCUUUCAGCUAUGACGAAGCGCAAGUGACGGUAGUAGCAGAAGAAGGACCGGCCAACUACGUGCCAGCCGCCGCAGUAA
rnacentral:rRNA from 1 species